GAUGAACGCUGGCGGCGUGCCUAAUACAUGCAAGUCGAGCGAACAGACGAGGAGCUUGCUCCUCUGACGUUAGCGGCGGACGGGUGAGUAACACGUGGAUAACCUACCUAUAAGACUGGGAUAACUUCGGGAAACCGGAUCUAAUACCGUAUAAUAUAUUGAACCGCAUGGUUCAAUAGUUAAAUACGGUUUUGCUGUCUCUUAUAGAUGUAUCCGCUCCGCAUUAGAUAGUUGUUAAGGUAACGGCUUACCAAGGCGACGAUGCGUAGCCGAACUGAGAGGGUGAUCGGCCACACUGGAACUGAGACACGGUCCAGACUCCUACGGGAGGCAGCAGUAGGGAAUCUUCCGCAAAGGGCGAAAGCCUGACGGAGCAACGCCGCGUGAGUGAUGAAGGUCUUCGGAUCGUAAAACUCUGUUAUUAGGGAAGAACAAAUGUGUAAGUAACUAUGCACGUCUUGACGGUACCUAAUCAGAAAGCCACGGCUAACUACGUG
rnacentral:rRNA from 1 species